GAUGAACGCUAGCGGCAGGCUUAACACAUGCAAGUCGAGGGGUAUCACGCUUUCGGGCGUGAGAGACCGGCGCACGGGUGCGUAACGCGUAUGCAAUCUACCUUUUGCAGAGGGAUAGCCCAGAGAAAUUUGGAUUAAUACCUCAUAGUAUAGAACAAUCGCAUGAUUGAGCUAUUAAAGUCACAACGGCAAAAGAUGAGCAUGCGUCCCAUUAGUUAGUUGGUAAGGUAACGGCUUACCAAGACUACGAUGGGUAGGGGUCCUGAGAGGGAGAUCCCCCACACUGGUACUGAGACACGGACCAGACUCCUACGGGAGGCAGCAGUGAGGAAUAUUGGACAAUGGGCGCAAGCCUGAUCCAGCCAUGCCGCGUGCAGGAUGACGGUCCUAUGGAUUGUAAACUGCUUUUGUACAGGAAGAAACACUCCCUCGUGAGGGAGCUUGACGGUACUGUAAGAAUAAGGAUCGGCUAACUCCGUG
rnacentral:rRNA from 1 species